rnacentral:rRNA from 1 species
ACCAGACUCCUACGGGAGGCAGCAGUGGGGGAUAUUGCACAAUGGGGGGAACCCUGAUGCAGCGACGCCGCGUGGGUGAAGAAGCGCCUCGGCGCGUAAAGCCCUGUCAGCAGGGAAGAAAAUGACGGUACCUGAAGAAGAAGCCCCGGCUAACUACGUGCCAGCAGCCGCGGUAAUACGUAGGGGGCAAGCGUUAUCCGGAUUUACUGGGUGUAAAGGGGGCGCAGACGGCGAUGCAAGCCAGGAGUGAAAGCCCGGGGCCCAACCCCGGGACUGCUCUUGGAACUGCGUGGCUGGAGUGCAGGAGGGGCAGACGGAAUUCCUGGUGUAGCGGUGAAAUGCGUAGAUAUCAGGAGGAACACCGGUGGCGAAGGCGGCCUGCUGGACUGCAACUGACGUUGAGGCCCGAAAGCGUGGGGAGCAAACAGGAUUAGAUACCCGUGUACC